AUCUUGCUGGAGAGACCUGUGUUCCUGAGGCCUUCUAAAGAUUUGUUAUUGUUAAACUUGAGAUGUCCAGGAUGAACUUGAAAUGAUUAGAAAAUGCUGCAUGGGAAGCGUGAAGAUUUGAGAUCCUACUCUGGACAGAGACCUUGGAGUAAAAAAAAUAUGUAGAGUCAAACCAAUCUGUAUUAGCAUGUUAAAUUGCAGCACCAAGAGAGCAACAGUUUGGACCUGCUGACAGAUUGUUAAAUGCAAAACUGAAAACAAAUGUGUUUGCAACAUUAUAAACUGAUGUUACAGCUUCAGGGAGUUGCAGAUGUAUAAGAAGAGAGAGAUGCAAAAGCGAAAAUGUAGUAUGAACUUGGAGUCUUUGGAACUAAUAGCAUCAAAAUGGCACUUCAUAUUUCUGCAAGAGGAAACAGUGAUUGAGGUAGAGAUGGAUGAGGAUAGGUUGUCUACCAGUUGCUGGAGGCUGUCCCCCAAAAGGAUGCAUUCCAUAGUGCUACAUUGUCUUCAAAGCUCAAAGGAGAAGAAGAUAACAUUCCAUCCAAUGUCUGGCAAAGUCUGUGGUGUGUUGAGAACAGAGAGCCAUGGUUCUGAAUAGACCAAAACCAAUGAUCUUGUCACCUCUCAAUAGUCUUAACGGUACUGUAAAAUGGAGGAGGAACUAACAACACCUGUAAUUUGGAAAACUAACAGUUAAAUUGUUAUAGAGAAACAGAAAAUGGGGUCUUGAGACAGAUCAUUGCUAUACUGUGUAGCUGUAGCGCACAACUGAAAAAGUUCCAUUGCAUCUUCCAUGUUUCAAGAUGAUUUUAAGUUGAAAGCAGAUCGGGAAUUCUGGCUGGUGAUCAGUUUUCUGGUUAGUGAGACUUAAUGUGACUUCAUUCUGAGUCAUGGUCUCAGCAGUACACGUGGCGUUGGCAUAUGCUAUUAGCAGGGCUGGUGUGAGCAUAACUUGUAGUAGAAGUAGAACUCUGUGGAUUUCCAUCCAUUCUGACAAAAUGCUGUUGUGGUCCAGUUUGUGUGAGAGCUGCUCAUCGUUAGCUGAGCUGAAAGGCUCCUGACUACAGUGCAUUUAAAAUUAUUUCUCCCCAGAUUUGCAGGUUCGGACACUGGGAGUCCUCGUGCGCUUUUGUCUAUGAGAAAGUUCUCUUUACUCUUUUUUUUUUUCCCCCAUCCUGUGCCUGUUAUUAAACAUCUGUGUGACUUUAAGAUACCAGGAAAAGGUAAAUUAAUGCUGCCAAAUCAAUAUAAUUGUGAAUAAUUUUAGGGUUGUACUGUGUCCUUCUUUACUCCAGCAGUAGUCCCAGGGGGGAAAUCGUAACAGUUAUUGCUACUCUUAUAAACUGCUCAUUUAUUUGGGAGAAUUUGAAGAAAAUAUUAAUUACUACUCUGUAACGCAUGACAAGAUUUUUUUCACUCUUUUUAAUUAAACCGAAAACUUCCACAUUUG
rnacentral:lncRNA from 1 species